rnacentral:rRNA from 1 species
AACGAACGCUGGCGGCAUGCCUAACACAUGCAAGUCGAACGAGACCUUCGGGUCUAGUGGCGCACGGGUGCGUAACGCGUGGGAAUCUGCCCUUGGGUUCGGAAUAACAGUUAGAAAUGACUGCUAAUACCGGAUAAUGUCUUCGGACCAAAGAUUUAUCGCCCAGGGAUGAGCCCGCGUAGGAUUAGCUAGUUGGUGAGGUAAAGGCUCACCAAGGCGACGAUCCUUAGCUGGUCUGAGAGGACGACCAGCCACACUGGGACUGAGACACGGCCCAGACUCCUACGGGAGGCAGCAGUAGGGAAUAUUGGUCAAUGGAUGCAAGUCUGAACCAGCCAUGCCGCGUGCAGGAAGAAGGCCUUCUGGGUUGUAAACUGCUUUGCCAGGGGAUAAAAUUUCCAUGCGUGGAAACUGAAGGUACCUGGUGAAUAAGCCACGGCUAACUACGUGCCAGCAGCCGCGGUAAU